AGUAUCAUUAAGUGAAUACAUAGCUUAAUGAGGGGAACUCAGGGAACUGAAACAUCUAAGUACCUGAAGGAAGAGAAAGAAAUUCGAUUCCGUAAGUAGCGGCGAGCGAACGCGGAUUAGCCCAAACCAAUAAAGUUUUCUUUCUUGGGGUUGCGGACAUAUCAUAACGAAGAGGUAUCGUAAUUGAAGAGGUUUGGAAAGACCCACCACAGAAGGUAAUAGUCCUGUAUGUUAAACGAGAAGACUUUAGAUAUGAUCCAGAGUACCACGGGACACGUGAAACCCUGUGGGAAGCAGGAGGGACCACCCUCCAAGGCUAAAUACUACCUAGUGACCGAUAGCGUAUAGUACCGUGAGGGAAAGGUGAAAAGAACCCCGGGAGGGGAGUGAAAUAGAACCUGAAACCCUGCACUUACAAGCUGUGGAAGCACAUUUCUUGUGUGACCGCGUACUUUUUGUAGAACGGGCCAACGAGUUACGUUAAGUAGCAAGGUUAAGCACUUAAGGUGCGGAGCCGUAGCGAAAGCGAGUUUUAACUGAGCGUUCAGUUACUUGACGUAGACCCGAAACCGGGCGACCUACCCAUGAGCAGGAUGAAGCGAAAGUAAAAUGUCGUGGAGGUCCGAACCCACGAGCGUUGAAAAGCUCGGGGAUGACUUGUGGGUAGCGGUGAAAUUCCAAUCGAGCCCGGAGAUAGCUGGUUCUCCCCGAAAUAGCUUUAGGGCUAGCCUCAAGGUGAGAGA
rnacentral:rRNA from 1 species